CUCUCCGCUGGUUCCUGCUUGCUGUUUGCAGUCGCCAUGAACUGCAGCUGUGCCAUGCCUGCCUGCCUUGGAGCCAACUGAGUGUGCACUGAAAUCUCCAAAAACUGCAGCACAAGCAAGCAAACCAAAGAGUCCAGGUCGAAGUUGUAGCUUCAGCGUGUAAAACCUGCUUACUGUGCAGAAGGCUAUGGGUUCUGUUUCAGCAUUACACCCAUGAACAAGCAUUCAAAGACCAUGAUGUCAUACACCUCUUUCCUGGCUGAUUUUCUAACUAAGCAAAAUACGGAACAAGAAGCCAAUAAGUUUCAAUAAGAUUUCUGCACUACAAGCUCUUCUGAAGAAUCCAGCAGAGAUUUUUCUGCUAACAACAACAACAACAAAGGAAAUAAAUAAACAUUUAAGGAUACCGAAUAGUCAAAGAUUUGGAGAGACUCUUUUUGUUUUUCCAAAUAUUUUAUGCCUGGUGUCACUGAGACAACUUUUAGCAUUUGCUUGGUGACUAACUUAAUGGUAAACUUAGUAUUGUUGUCUGCAUAUUUAUUUGAAAAUACUGUUUUGCAUUUGGUUUAGAGCAUAAUUUUUAAGAUUGCUCCUAAUGUCACGAACAAGAGUUGUAAACAAUACAACAAGCAGUGUUUGUCUUGUGCAUCCCACUGUGUUCCCUAUCCCAGCAGCUGUGAUUUUUCAAAACACAGUAUAGGAUAAUUUAACUUCCAGAGGGUGAGGAGUCUCUGGAAAAGCGUCUGUAUAACAGACAUUCACCUGCUCAGUACGUGUAUGAUUUUUUGGGGUGUGGUAACAUUUUAAUAUGUCAGCCAUUUAAGUCAGAGCAGAAACAUUUAAGGAUUCAUUUUACAGUAGAGGAAACAAGGAGAAUAUAUGAAACAUGUCUUUUUGAGGAGGGCAAACAGAAAUAAAUACUGUGUUCCUGGGUAGUUUAAAGAUGUUAAACCCUGGAGAAGAAGAAUGUAUAUAAAAAAGCAUCAGAAUUUUCAACAUCGACUGGUUUUGGUGUACAAAAUCUGAAAAAGAACAUCAGAAAUGAAAUUCUAUAUGGACUACAGUGAAAAUACAAAUGCCACUCUGCAAAAUAAUCUUUAUUUCAGUUAUCACACCUAAGGCAGUCUGCACACAAGACAACACAUUCAAUACACGCACAUCACUUACACUGACAGCACAUGUGUUUGUUUCUUGGCCUUUUUGUGGGACAUGCAUGAUAUAUGGCUGGUCUUAUUAUUUUUUCAUGAGAUUCUUAUUAUAUUAUACAGUGUUUAGUUAACAAGAUCAUAAAAUAUCAAAUGAGGUAAAAUAUUAAAUUCUGAAUAUGUGUUGUGCAUUUAGAAUAAUGUAAACAUUUUUACAUCAGUUAUGUGCUUCCUUGAAAAAAGCCUAUAUAACCUACAAUGAUAACACCAAGAGAACUCUACCACAAAAAAUAAAAUAAAAGAGCUUUGCUCCUCCUGUUACACUCAAGGCAGUCUUCACAUAUGACAACUGCAUGUUCUAUACACAAAUAUUGCUUAUUCUGAGUGCAGUUGACAUCUUUCAUGUUUUUUUGGGUUGCCAUAGAGGGUUUUUGUGAUGCUUCACCUUCCUAUACACCUGUGCUGUUGUUUUUUGUUUGUUUGUUUGUUUUUUAUUUUUUUUGCAUUGUUCACUGGGCAAAAACAUUUUGUUUUUCCUCUGCUAGAAAUGAUCUAUUUGACUUCUAGUCACAAUCCUCAACGAAAAUUUCUCUAUCGUAUUUUGCACUUGCUAUUUUCUUUGUAAACUAGCAAACUACGCCACCCAUGUUUAGGAUCCAGUAAACUACAGCCAUUGUCCAAUGCUCUGUUACAGGUUAUAUCACAGCUGCCAUAACACACCAUCAUCAUCUAUUCCACAUUCAGUUUUGCUGCUGGAAGUUCCCACUAAGCUGUUUUGUUAACUUUUCCAGACCAAUAUUUUCAUGAUGGUGAAAUGCUUACAAUUUGAUUUUCUUUGUCAUAUAUGAAGCCAAUGUUAUAUGUUCCUGAAAUGCAAAAUUGUACUACAAAGUUCUCUGUUUUGAAAUCGCAACAUUUCAUUUGCAAUUUCUGCUUAGUUCAGGUGUACAGUUCCUGCACUGGUAAACUUGUGCUCU